GUCCCUAUAGCGCAAUGAACAGCGCGUUGGAUUUCUUAUCCGAAGUGGAUUCGAAUCCCACCUGGGAUG